rnacentral:rRNA from 1 species
CCGAUGGAGGGGGAUAACUACUGGAAACGGUAGCUAAUACCGCAUAACGUCGCAAGACCAAAGAGGGGGACCUUCGGGCCUCUUGCCAUCGGAUGUGCCCAGAUGGGAUUAGCUAGUAGGUGGGGUAACGGCUCACCUAGGCGACGAUCCCUAGCUGGUCUGAGAGGAUGACCAGCCACACUGGAACUGAGACACGGUCAG